rnacentral:misc_RNA from 1 species
ACUAAUAUUUAAUUUUGGCUGCCAUAAAAUUGAUUCUAAUAUAUUUUUAUGCUCAAAUUUUCUUCGUUGUGGGCCCUGAAUUCAUUCAAUUUAAAUUCUGAAUUUAAGGAAGUUUAAGAAAUCGAUUAGACAUUUUUCCCUCUCCACAGACUCCGGUAGAUACCUGUCAUUUCGAAGUGUCUUUUCGGCGAUCCCGUCUUAAUCUUCUUGGGGAUCUCUCUUACCGAGUUCCAACAUGGCACUGCCGGCCAGAUGGAAACUACUUGUUGGUUUAGCUGUUGUAUUUUUGUUUAAUAGUAUCAACGCUCAAAAUCCAUUCCGGAGCUUUCAGUACAAGUACAGUUUUAAGCCACCUUACUUGGCGCAAAAAGAUGGAAGUGUUCCGUUUUGGGAAUACUCAGGAAAUGCCAUUGCCAAUGAAGAAAUGGUUCGAAUCACUCCAUCUCUCAGAAGUCAAAAAGGCCAAAUUUGGACAAGAACACCAACUGAUUUUGAAUGGUGGGAGGUUGAGAUGGUGUUUAGAGUAACUGGUCGUGGAAGAAUUGGAGCUGAUGGCUUGGCUUUGUGGUAUACAGAGAGCAAAGGUGUUGAGGGGCCUGUGUUUGGUUCCAAUGAUAACUGGAACGGUCUGGGUCUUUUCUUUGACUCCUUUGAUAAUGACAACAAACACAACAAUCCCUUUAUCAUGGCAAUGACAAAUGAUGGAUCUCAAUCCUAUUCUCAUCAGCUGGAUGGUUCUACGCAACAGUUAGCCGGUUGUUUGAGAGAUUUCAGAAACAAACCGUUUCCAGUUCGAGCCAAAAUAGAGUACUACCACAAUACGCUUUCGGUUAUGUUUCACAAUGGAAUGUCAAACAACGAGCAAGAUUACGAAAUGUGUUUCAGGGUUGAAAAUGUUGUAUUGCCAAAGUAUGGAUACUUUGGUGUCACUGCUGCAACUGGUGGUCUUGCUGAUGAUCACGAUGCCCUUAAAUUCCUCACUUACAAUUUGCAAAGCUCUGACUCGACCGGUACAAAUGAACCUCACAUACCUGAAGAUGAACGUGCGAAGCUCUCACAAGAAUUCCAGGAAUACCAAGAUAAACUACAGAAGCAGAAAGAUGAAUACCGACAGGCUCAUCCAGAUGAGGCUGAUACUGGCAAAAUGGAAAAUCCAGAGGAAUGGUUUGAAACUGAUAACCAGCGCGAGUUAGGCCAAAUUUUCGCUGGACAGAGCAAAAUGUUUGAUGCUUUGCGGGAUAUUCAGCGCAAAAUGGACGACCUUGUUGGGCGUCAAGAACGGACACUCAGCCUGAUGUCAGCCAUUCAAACUAACCAAGUUGCUGGCGGAGUCGCGCAACCUAGUGUAACAGGUCAAGUUCCAGGUGGCGACGUUCUUCGGCGCCACGAAGUCGAUACAGCUCUCGCCAAUCAGCGUGAAAUUGUUGGUGCAGCUCGAGAAAUCAAGGCAUACGUCACCGAAAUCCAUCAACGAACUGCUACCAUCGUUCAGAAUCAGGGUAAACAGGUGGGCGGGUCUGCACAGCCCAUCGGUUACGAUCACGUUCAGAAUAGUUUGAAUGAAGUCAAAGAGGGACUAAAUUUAAUUAAACGAGAUAUUAGUGUAACGGCUCAGCGCCUGGCCGCACAACCUGUCACUUCCUGCCCUACAGCCCAACCAUGUCUCAGUACUACCAUCUUUGCUGUCUUUAUGGUCAUUCAGAUGGUUAUCAUGAUCGGAUAUUUCAUCUACAGGGAUACAAAGGAAGCGCAAGCUAAGAAAUUUUAUUAGGAAUGCAAAGUAUCGAUUUCCAUUUGUUACAAAAAUAACAGAAGAAUUUUAUGUGGAGACCAAAAGUGUUGAGGAGAAUACCUCAAUGCAUAAUUUGAGUUUGGUGCAUGAAUGCAAAAUAAGUGGCAAUUUGAUUGACUUAAAAAUAACAUCACGGGGUAACGCACGACAUGAUUAAUGUAUAGUUGAUCUGGAUGUCGUUAUCCGUCUUGUUUAAUGCAAUUUUUUUUUAUUUCAUCGUGCAGAAGGAAAUUAUUUUUUGAAUGGUUUCAUUUUGUGAUGAAUGUGUUUUAUACAGCGUAGUGAAUGGAUGUGAUUCUGCCUAAAAGGCGAAUAUUUUCUGCCCCAUUUUCGUUUUAUUUUUCAUAUAGCUGCGGAAUGUUCAUGGUACACAUUCCACCCUCACAACUUUUCACGCCGGGAUUUUGAAAGCAAAACGUAUCAGAGAGAAAUACACUGCCUUCGGUACCACA